rnacentral:rRNA from 1 species
UACGUAGGGUGCAAGCGUUGUCCGGAAUUAUUGGGCGUAAAGAGCUCGUAGGCGGUCUGUCACGUCGGCUGUGAAAACCCAGGGCUCAACCCUGGGCCUGCAGUCGAUACGGGCAGACUAGAGUCCGGCAGGGGAGACUGGAAUUCCUGGUGUAGCGGUGAAAUGCGUAGAGAUGUGGAGGAACACCAGUGGCGAAGGCGACUCUUUGGCCUGUAACUGACGCUGAGGCGCGAAAGCGUGGGGAGCGAACAGG